ACGGGAAGAUUUCCCUGUUGCAACCCCAACUUUGUCCUUCUUUAGUUUUUUAAGAGAUGCUCCUUGUUUUCCACCUUCAACUGACUUCUUCUGAAAAAAGGAGCAAAAUAAAAACAAUAAAUGUGGAAGGAUGUCCACCAAAUAAAAUUUAAACCGUUAAUGAAAUAGAAAGAUAAAAUAAUAAUUGAAGUGGGAAAUAUUUAUGAAUAUAUAAUCAAGUGGGAAAUGAA